rnacentral:rRNA from 1 species
AUUGAACGCUGGCGGCAGGCCUAACACAUGCAAGUCGAACGAGUGGCGGACGGGUGAGUAAUGUCUGGGAAACUGACUGAAGGCGGGGGAUAAAUACUGGAAACGGUAGCUAAUACCGCAUACCAUCGGUGGUGCGCAGAGGGGAUUAGACAGUAGGGGGGGUAAAGGCUCACCUGGGCGACGAUCCCUAGCUGGUCUGAGAGGAUGACCAGCCACACUGGAACUGAGACACGGUCCAGACUCCUACGUGAGGCAGCAGUGGGGAAUAUUGCACAAUGGGCGCAAGCCUGAUGCAGCCAUGCUGCGUGUAGGAAGAAGGCCUUCGGGUUGUAAAGUACUUUCAGCGGGGAGGCGUUACCCGCAGAAGAAGCACCGGCUAACUCCGUGCCAGCAGCCGCGGUAAUUC